rnacentral:rRNA from 1 species
GACGAACGCUAGCGGCGUGCUUAACACAUGCAAGUCGAACGGGCCUUGUCCCCUUUUUUUUUGGGGGUGGGGUUAGUGGCGAACGGGUGAGUAACACGUGAGUAACCUGCCCCUCACUUCUGGAUAACCGCUUGAAAGGGUGGCUAAUACGGGGUGUUCUGGCCUGCUCGCAUGGGUGGGUUUGGAAAGAUUCGACCGGUUUUGGUUGUUUUGGUGGGGGAUGGGCUCGCGGCCUAUCAGCUUGUUGGUGGGGUGAUGGCCUGCCAAGGCUUUGACGGGUAGCCGGCCUGAGAGGGUGGGCGGUCACACUGGGACUGAGACACGGCCCAGACUCCUACGGGAGGCAGCAGUGGGGAAUAUUGCACAAGGGGCGCAAGCCUGAUGCAGCGACGCCGCGUGAGGGAUGGAGGCCUUCGGGUUGUGAACCUCUUUCGCCAGUGAAGAAGGUCCUGCUCUUUGUGGUGGGGUUGACGGUAGCUGGGUUAAUGAAGCGCCGGCUAACUACGUG